rnacentral:rRNA from 1 species
UACGUAGGGGGCAAGCGUUGUCCGGAUUUAUUGGGCGUAAAGAGCGUGUAGGCGGCCCGGUAAGUCCGCUGUGAAAGUCCAGGGCUCAACCCUGGGAUGCCGGUGGAUACUGUCGGGCUCGAGUCCGGAAGAGGAGUGUGGAAUUCCUGGUGUAGCGGUGAAAUGCGCAGAUAUCAGGAGGAGCACCAAUGGCGAAGGCAGCACUCUGGGACGUGACUGACGCUGAGACGCGAAAGCGUGGGGAGCAAACAGG